UAGUUCAGUUGGUUAGAAUGCCUGCCUGUCACGCAGGAGGUCGCGGGUUCGAGUCC
rnacentral:tRNA from 1 species